UACAGAGGUCUCAAGCGUUGUUCGGAUUCAUUGGGCGUAAAGGGUGCGUAGGUGGCGCUGUAAGUCGGGUGUGAAAUUUCGGAGCUUAACUCCGAAACUGCAUUCGAUACUGCGGUGCUUGAGGACUGGAGAGGAGACUGGAAUUCAUGGUGUAGCAGUGAAAUGCGUAGAGAUCAGCAGGAACACCCGUGGCGAAGGCGGCCCCCUGGGCCGUACCUGACGCUGAGGCGCGAAGGCUAGGGGAGCGAACGG
rnacentral:rRNA from 1 species